CCUACGGGAGGCAGCAGUGGGGAAUCUUGCGCAAUGGGCGAAAGCCUGACGCAGCAACGCCGCGUGCGGGAAGAAGGCUUUCGGGCUGUAAACCGCUUUCAGCAGGAACGAAAAUGACGGUACCUGCAGAAGAAGGAGCGGCCAACUAUGUGCCAGCAGCCGCGGUGAUACAUAGGCUUCAAGCGUUGUCCGGAUUUAUUGGGCGUAAAGAGUUCGUAGGCGGUCAAGUAAGUCGGGUGUGAAAAUUCUGGGCUCAACCCAGAGACGCCACCCGAUACUGCUUAACUUGAGUUCGAUAGGGGAGUGGGGAAUUCCUAGUGUAGCGGUGAAAUGCGCAGAUAUUAGGAGGAACACCGGUGGCGAAGGCGCCACUCUGGAUCGAUACUGACGCUGAGGAACGAAAGCAUGGGUAGCAAACAGGAUUAGAUACCCUGGUAGUCCAUGCCGUAAACGGUGGGCACUAGGUGUGGGUUUCUAUUAACGAAAUCCGCGCCGUCGCUAACGCAUUAAGUGCCCCGCCUGGGGAGUACGGUCGCAAGACUAAAACGUCAAAAGAUAGUAGGACGUGAGACGUGCGACGAGCACAGGAGUAGG
rnacentral:rRNA from 1 species